rnacentral:rRNA from 1 species
GAUGAACGCUGGCGGCGUGCCUAAUACAUGCAAGUCGAGCGAACGGACGAGAAGCUUGCUUCUCUGAUGUUAGCGGCGGACGGGUGAGUAACACGUGGAUAACCUACCUAUAAGACUGGGAUAACUUCGGGAAACCGGCGCUAAUACCGGAUAAUAUUUUGAACCGCAUGGUUCAAAAGUGAAAGACGGUCUUGCUGUCACUUAUCGAUGCAUCCGGGCUGCAUUAGCUAGUUGGUAAGGUAACGGCUUACCAAGGCAACGAUGCAUGGCCGACCUGAGAGGGUGAUCGGCCACACUGGAACUGAGACACGGUCCAGACUCCUACGGGAGGCAGCAGUAGGGAAUCUUCCGCAAUGGGCGAAAGCCUGACGGAGCAACGCCGCGUGAGUGAUGAAGGUCUUCGGAUCGUAAAACUCUGUUAUUAGGGAAGAACAUAUGUGUAAGUAACUGUGCACAUCUUGACGGUACCUAAUCAGAAAGCCACGGCUAACUACGUG